UUGCUUGGUAGGUUUUUGGACGCAAAUCCAUCCCCAGUGCUUUCACUCUGCCCUGUGAAAGAGAAGAUCAAGAAGAGGAUUAGAAAAGGCAUGACUUUCGACGUGGUUAAGUUCUCAACUUUUAACCAUUGUUCUUAGGGGGCGACCAGUGAUUUAAGGAGACGUAAGGCUUUAUAAAGGCAGGUGGAAAUGUUAUAGAGGCUUUUGGCAUCGUUCCCGGGCACUAACUUUGUAGAAUGAUGGUGAAAUCCAUCAGGCCACAAAACAAAGUCAACUGCACCAAGUUUUCCUACUUCAUUUUCACAAUUUCUACCUCUCUUCACUCCAUCAAAAGGCUAUCGUAUGUGGGGUGGUGGCCGGUGGGAGUAAACUGCAUGGCCUCAUCUCACAGUGGUUUUUAACUAGAUGGAACCGGAGGUUUUCAUGCUCACUUAUUCUCUUUUUUUUUUUUGGUAAGAACUGGAGCCUGAAGCUUUCAUUAUCAUAUAUAGUAACAUGUAGUACAUAGAAGAACUUGUUGUGAUAACCAUCAGCAUGGUACAAGCAUACCCAGUCUAAACAACACAAGGCACCAAAUAUGUAAUACAUCAUAGUAUGACCCCACAUGAAAAUUCCAUUUCUUCUUAGACCAGGUCAAGAGAUCGACUGCCAAAUAGUCAUGAGCAGAUAUCAGCAAGCAAUUAUGAAUUUGCUACCAAUAAAAUCUGCAGCACGAUUAGCUUCCCUACAUAUGUGAGAAGUACUAAAAUUCCUAUAGCAAUUCUUCCAGUGCACAAUAUCCAGUAAAACAGGGUACUCAAGCUUUUUAGUGAUUGAUUGAUUUGAGAUUAGAGACAUAGCAUGCAAGGAAUCUCCCUCAAGAUAGAUAUCAUAUGAGUGCAAUUCUACCACUGCAACAAACAUACCCCACCAGGCUGCAAUUAAUUCUGCAUAAUUAAUAGGAGAAAUAGAUGUCUGUUUACCCCCUGCUCUAAUAAGAGUUCUAUUGCAAUCUUUGAUAAUAUAGCCUACAGCCACCUUAUCUGUCAGCACAGCCACAUCAAAAUUAACCUUGAGAUAUCCAGAGGGGGGAGGUGACCAAAAAACAGCAAUAUAGGAUGAAUUGCCUAGAUUGGGCAUCUUUAAAUCACAACAGCACCUCAACGGAGUCCUAAGAUCCACAUGAUUGCUGGUGCUGUUCUGACAGUUAACAUACAAACAAACCUGUCUCAUUUGUUGAAAUGGGGAAGCAGCAUACUUCUGAAACACCCUGUCAUUCCUACCAAUCCAAAUUCACCAAGCAGUAAUUGCUAUCAUUGCUUUAUUUCUUCCCUAUACCUGGGCAGCAGACAUAGUAUCUACCAGACUCGGCAAAGAGCUUGGAAUACUAUCUAUCGCAUACCAACUUUUCAAUAAAUCCCAGCAAGCAGCUGCAUAGGGGCAUUCAAUUAACACAUGAUUCGUGUCCUCUAUAGCAUAUCUAAACUCCCGUUAUAGUUCCAAGAACCAGUGUCCAUAGGCUAAAAAUACCAUUUAAACCGAGAUGAAGGAAACUCAGAUAUUUGGUGGUGCAUAAUCUCAAGCCUUGCAAUCAGGAUGUUGUACUUUGCCAUUGUUGAUGUAUUGUUAGUCCAGCGACCAAACUGUUAAUCAGAAAGAUCAACAUCAACGGUGAAGAAAGGUAGAUGGCAGAACCCAGGCCUGCACACAAUAUAUCGGGACAAUUGAUUUUUUUUCUUUCUUUUUGUGUGUGUGGAAAAACUUAUUAAAAAAUAAAUUCUUUGAACCUCUCAAAAACAACAACGUAAAUAAGAAUCUCUACAAAGAUUUGUUGCCAGGAAACAAGGGAACCAUGAUAGAUGAACAUAGCUAAGUUUAUGGGCACAUGCAAGGGGGGUCAGGAAAAUUUGCUAUUCUACUUGCACACCCAUGAAUCCGAACCAUCCAGGUCAUCCUAUAAAUUUUCAACAUGGCCACCCAUUGAAAAUAGAAAGUUGCAUUACCUGCAACUAUGAAUUUAACUAUUGAUAGUUUGCUAAUAAUAUAUAUAUAAAAAAAAUAGAGGGGAAAAAGAAAACAACAUGCACUAUUUUAAGGCAUGGUAAGUGGCCAUCGUCCUCAGUCCUCAAGGCGAUUUUGGGCCAGAGGGGAACCUGUAUCAUCAUUAGUUAAUGGGAAUAUGGAAUCAACAUUAGAAGAAGAAGAGGAGGAGGCACUAUCUCUGGAGAAUUUGGAAAAUCCAAUAAAAACAUCUCAAAGGUUCAGAUCAUAUUCUUGAAAAGGAGAGGAAAAAAAAAUAUGAUAAUAAUAAUAUGAAAUAUGAUAUCAACUCUUCAUGAAAAGGAGACAACAUAUCCAACAGCACUAUGGCAGUCUUCUGUUACUAAUCUUUACGCGUUGACGGACAAGAAAACCGUAUGUAUGAGAAGCAUCAUAUGAUCAAUGUAGUUACCCAGUGGCUUACUAGCAGCAUCACCAAAUUAAUGGCAAAAUUGGCUACAUUCUUGUAAGAUAAAUUGGCAUGUACUACAAUAGAAGAGCUCAACUUUCUUGGUACAUAUAUAAGUGAUCUAUGCUAAUGUAGAGAAGUAAGAUAAACCUGUGAAGAUACUAGCUGCGGGUGGUCCAACUUGGACCAGCAAGAAAUGCAAAUGAGGACUCCCAACUAUCAUGGACUUCCUGAAAGUAAUCUUAACAUAGAAAGCAAAUUGAUAAGGCACCUAUUGCCAUAUUAAAAUUGUACAACUGAACCAAUCAUAUAAACAAGGACAGCUCAUAAUUCAUUAUUGUUAUCAUAGGGUGUACAAUAUCACAGUAAAUAUUACUAAAGCUCACUGGUUGAUCAUUUUCUGCUUUAGAAUAAAACCCACACAUAGAAGGAAAAAAAGCAGAAAACAUAAGCAUUAAAAAAAAAAAAUCUUACUAAAAUCACAAAGCAUGCAAAAGAAAAGAUACAGCAGGUUAAAAGAAAUUUGAAAGACUUCACUAAAGACUAAUCUGUUUUGUUCCUUUAGUUUAAAACUCAGGUCUUCUGGAUCUUGAAGUUAUAUGAACUAUCAGAUUUCUCCCAAAAAGAAAAAGAGUAUUUAACCUAUCCAAAUACUAAAAUACUCAUAUCUGCUGUCCAGUUUUCCCCAGGUCAUUGACAACCAUGUAUCAUAUACAAGGGAACCUACAAGUAGAAAAACAAAAAAGAGAAGAAUUCUAACAUAGGAUGUUAGGUAAAAUUAAAUUAUAUGAUUUAGCUCAUGAUUACCUGUUUUCUUACCGCUGAUAUGGCUAGAAUAAUCUUGAUUAAAAAAUAUUUCCAAAUUUAUCAAGUUUAGGAUAUCAAGAGGAAAAAGGGGAGAAUUUAGAAGGAGAAAAAGACCUAGCUGGAGCUCUUUCUCCAAGGCCUCAAUCAAGCCUUCCACUUCUGCUCCUCAAUGAACCUCAUCACCACCACCUCCUCAAUCACCAUAUAUGAGGAUCCUACAUUGGUCUUGCAAUAGGGAGUCUCAUGUACUUAUACCAGGCCAAGGAACCCACUACCGUCCGGCUCUAGAAAAUUUGUAUCUCAUAAGAACUUGGAAAAUUGUAUUGGCUCUAGAAGCUCUCCCACAAAAGAGGCCUUAGUUGUACUCUUUUGCCAUCAAGUGAUAAUCAAUAAAGUUUUUAAAGUUCUUCAUCAAUUCAUUGAUUGGAGCGAUUCCCUUCUUGCCAUGGUGUGAGACCAUGAUCCUGUGAGAGAUGAUUGGUACAAGGAUGAAUUCUUUGAGCAUUCCGCAGAGAGGUUGAAGGUGAAAGGGUGAAGACUCUCAAGGAGGUUGGUGCGAGGUCAACAGUAAAACCUUGCUUCCACAUAUUCCAUAUUCUCGUGCAGGCUUGCCUGCAUCAGUUUUCGUAUCAAAGCAAAAAAAAAUAUGAACCUCAUUGUUUUAUCGUUCUCGCAUACCCCUUUAUAGCUUUCCUUCACCACCCUAUCUGUAUGAUCAACAGUCCUCUUCUGCUUCAUCCCAGAAAAGAAAUAAUGAUUGCUCCAAAGGUUUCCAAUCCCAAUCCCAAUCCUAAUCACCCAAUACCUCCUUUGGACAACAUCCUUGUAGCUGUACUAUCCAAUAUGAGGCUUAAUCCAAGUUAGUUAGGAUGCGUUCGGACAACAUAUCCAAUACCAUUUGACCCUGAUUUCAAACUGUUUAAUAUUUAGGGCCACAAGAUCCAAGUUGGACCUGGUUUUCUAGCUAGGUUAAACCUGGGAUUCCGAGGUUAAGCCAAAGCUGACUUCUACUGCCUUUGGGAUUCUGCUCUAAUUCCAAAUAGACCAUUUCAAACCAAGCUUAUCCAAGAACAUUCAAAAGAUUUUCCGAGAAAGACCAUUUAGAGCUCUCUAAAGAGAUCAUGGAUCACCGACGAAUUGACUAUUGCCACAGCUUCGACACCGUUCCAAUUCACAACAUACCUAGCAUCGAAACCUUAUUUUCCCCGUCAAAAGUCUAGUCCACAGAAAUAAAAAGAAAUAAAAAGCAUGGAGGAAUACCCAUUAAAAUCCUAAGUCGAAAACCAAAAUUAUCUUUGAGUACGAUCUCGAGAAAGCGAGAAAUCUCAAGAAGAAGCACUAAGAACGACCCAAAAAGAAAAUGAGAAGGCCACGAACUCAUACCUCAAGAAGAAUCACCAAGAACGAUAACAAAAGAAAAGGAGAAGUCCAAGAACUCAUCCCUCAAGAGAGUCACCAAAAACGAUCAAAAAAGAGAAGGAGAAGGCCAAGAACUCAGACCUCAAUAAGAAGCACCAAGAACGAUCCAAAAAAAAACAGAGAAGGCCACGAACUCGUACCUUACCCCGAGCAAAGACGAAGAGCUUCGUAUGCGUAUCUUCUUCUCCAGCGAUGGACGGACGGAGGAGACCGAUCCGAUCGGGGCGUUGGUCGCGAAUGAAAAGCCUGGGAGCAUCGAGAUGGUCGGAAGGAAAAAAUAGAAACCCACAUUGUUUCG
rnacentral:lncRNA from 1 species